rnacentral:lncRNA from 1 species
GGGGUAGGCCCUUCCAGGCCACGCCCCCAGUGCUCCACCUCCUCCAAUCAGGCUUCACUUCCCAACAUUACAUCAGCUGUAAACCCGUUAGGGGACUAAUCCAUUGACGAGUGUCACCCCCAUGAUCCAGUUACCUCCCCAAAUCUCUACCUAGCGUGCAAGAAGCUUUGGGGGGAAUCUAGACAUAAACCACAACAAUGAGCGUAUUUAACUACUGAAGUGAACACUCUGAAAUGGCUAAAAUGGUGUCUAAGACGUGAACGCAGCAAGAAUAUGAAGUAAACACCAUUUCAGAGCUCUCAGUUCAGCUGAGGAAUCACAGUACUUGCAGGGCCUAUGGAAGAACCACCUAUUACAGAGAUUCGGUGUCGCCAGCUUUCAACCCAAGUUAAUGAACUGAGUCAACCUGCUUAUCAUGAAAAAGCCGAAGUGCUGCAUCUGGUUAAAUGGAGGGGAAAGGUGCUUGCUUUAUUUGCCUGGUGUGCCCACCCUAUAAUGUCUGUGAUCAUGAAGAUGGAAUAAACUCUAACAUUGAGUUUUCAAUCAUUAUGUAAAAAGAAAGAAAGAAAGGUAGUAUUGAGAAUUUUUCCAGUGCACACACAGCUUACCACUGGCAGAAUUUCGGCAGGACACCAGCAGGAACCACAGCCUCGGGGCCGGUGAGCACCACCAGCAAAGCGUGAGCAGCCAGGUACUGCUGCCUGCUCUCAGCUGGCCAGAGGCUUUCUCUUGCUGGACAGGUGGUGGAUUAACUAAUGGUCAACUUGGCAUGCCCAGCUGAACCAAGUCAAUGUGGUUCUGGGCAUGGAAGACCCACCUGAGGAUGGCAUGAAAGGAGAACUGGAGGGGAAGAUUGUAUGCUGUUGGUUUUCCUGGAGAAGCUUGCCAAAG